rnacentral:rRNA from 1 species
ACGGGGGGAGCAAGCGUUGUUCGGAUUUACUGGGCGUAAAGCGCGCGUAGGCGGCUUUGUAAGUCAGAGGUGAAAGCCUGGAGCUCAACUCCAGAACUGCCUUUGAGACUGCAUCGCUAGAAUUGUGGAGAGGUAAGUGGAAUUCCGAGUGUAGAGGUGAAAUUCGUAGAUAUUCGGAAGAACACCAGUGGCGAAGGCGACUUACUGGACACAUAUUGACGCUGAGGUGCGAAAGCGUGGGGAGCAAACAGGA